AAAAAGGUAGGUCCUGAAGGAUUUAAUCCUCUACUUAGAUGGUUGUGUCCUACCAUUGUUUAGCCACUGCUUGACCUUGCAGGUCCCCAAGAAUCGUUGUCUCCACUAAUCACCAGGAGGCUCAGAUGCCUGCUGCUGGCCGGGGGCAGGCAGCUCCACGGCCCGAGCUGUCUGAUGGUGCAGUCCCAGGACCUGCAGAUCCUGGAGAACUGCAACUGGAUUUGGCUGCUUCUUGUCUCCCCUUCGCCAUCCCAGUACAUGCUGUGAUGCUGCUCUGUACCGUGGAACAGCUGCCUCAGCCUACAUCUGCUGAGACACUCCAGCUGCAAUGAGCUGCAGGAUUAAAAAUUAAACUAAUACACAUUUAAGAAAUCUGGAUGGGCAGAAUCAGUCUAAAUUUUUGAAGAGACUGAAAUGACUGUAGGUGUGUCAGUUGCUUUUACAUCCCUGAGAUUUAUUGAAUAUUAUACUGGGCAGAGAAAUGGUCUCUGUUUAGGAACAAUUUGUGCUACCUGAUGAGGUGAUUGCCUAGUCAUUUGUCUUCAGCAGUUACUCUCAUGGGAAAACAGUUAUCUUUUCUUGUAAUUUUACUCAUGGAUAUCUUGCAGAAUUUCCAUAUUCUUAAGCUUUACCUCCCUAAAGCAAAAAUAGGAAAAUUUCAGAUUUGUUUGCUUAGUCCCUGAAAAGUUGUAGCAAUAAUUACAGAAAUAAGCUACGACUAUCACAUCAGAAGCUAAAUGCUGCAUCUGAGCUUGCAUGAUAACCUUUGGAUCUUCUAGCCAGCUCUUAAUUUGCCAAGGAAAAGUAGUUUCCCUGGAGAAUAACUGGGCCAAAGAACUGGGGUAACAACGGCUGAAAAAGUCAAACCCUCUAAAAUCAACUUAAAACCAUUAAAGUUUCCCCUUUCAAAUACGAGAAUUAACA